rnacentral:rRNA from 1 species
GACGGAGGAUGCAAGCGUUAUCCGGAAUGAUUGGGCGUAAAGCGUCCGCAGGUGGCAGUUCAAGUCUGCUGUCAAAGACCGGGGCUUAACUUCGGAAAGGCAGUGGAAACUGAACAGCUAGAGUAUGGUAGGGGCAGAGGGAAUUCCUGGUGUAGCGGUGAAAUGCGCAGAGAUCGGGAGGAACACCCGUAGCGGAAAGGCGGCACUCUGGGCCGGUACUGGACGCUGAGGAGCGAAAGCGUGGGGAGCAAACAGGGAUUAAGAAACCCCGGUGAGC